UUAACAAAGUUACUUGCGGCUGCUGCUCAUGAGAUCUGAUUUCCCUCUACCUCUCUAGCUAGCUAGGUUAAAGCAUCUCCAGGACUCAUAUGCAGCUACUGAAAAUCUAAAUACGAAGGUUCUUACUUCUUUGGUUCAAACAAGUACUGACUUGCAGGAGCCCGCAAACUCAGAGACGGCGCCUAAUUUGUCUGCGUUUAGUGGUC